rnacentral:rRNA from 1 species
UGGGGAAUUGUUCGCAAUGGGCGCAAGCCUGACGACGCAACGCCGCGUGGAGGAUGAAGGUCUUCGGAUUGUAAACUCCUGUUGAUCGGGACGAACGGGCUCCAGUCCAAUACGCUGGAGCAAUGACGGUACCGAUUGAGGAAGCCACGGCUAACUCUGUGCCAGCAGCCGCGGUAAUACAGAGGUGGCAAGCGUUGUUCGGAAUUACUGGGCGUAAAGGGCGCGUAGGUGGCCUUCUUAGUCAGACGUGAAAUCCCCGGGCUUAACUCGGGAACUGCGUCUGAUACUGGAAGGCUCGAGUUCGGGAGAGGAAUGUGGAAUUCCAGGUGUAGCGGUGAAAUGCGUAGAUAUCUGGAGGAACACCGGUGGCGAAGGCGGCAUUCUGGACCGAAACUGACGCUGAGGCGCGAAAGCCAGGGGAGCAAACGGGAUUAGAUACCCCGGUAGUCCUGGCCCUAAACGAUGAGUGCUUGGUGUGGCGGGUAUCGAUCCCUGCCGUGCCGAAGCUAACGCAUUAAGCACUCCGCCUGGGGAGUACGGUCGCAAGGCUGA